GUGAGUCAUCGAAUCUUUGAACGCACCUUGCACUCUUUGGUAUUCCGAAGAGUAUGUCUGUUUGAGUGUCAUGAAACUCUCAACCCCCUCAUUUUGUAAUGAAACGAGUGUGGGCUUGGUUUAUGGCUGUUUGUCGGCUUUUGUUAGCCGGCUCAGCUGAAAUUGACGAGCAACCCAGUUUGAAAAACUGACGGCUUGACUCGGCGUAAUAAUUAUUAUCGCUGAGGACGUCUAACCUUCAAAUCGUUAGUGGUGCUUCUAAUGCAAAUCAUUUUAAGAUUUAGACCUCAAAUCAGCCAGGAUUACCCGCUGAACUUAA
rnacentral:rRNA from 1 species